rnacentral:rRNA from 1 species
GACGAACGCUGGCGGCGUGCUUAACACAUGCAAGUCGAACGGGACCGUCUGGUCUAUUUUCUCGCGGGUGGGUACCGCGUGGGCACCUGGCUGUGUGAUCCGCGAGACCCCUCCCACGAGGUUGUAUUUACGCCUGGUGUCCUCGGACUAAUGAGUUAUAGGCUUUGGGUGGGCCCGCGGUGGUUUAGCUAGUUGGUAGGGUGAAUGCCGACCAAGGCGCCGAUCCACAGCUGGUCUGAGAGGAUGAUCAGCCACACUGGGACUGAGACACGGCCCAGACUCCUACGGGAGGCAGCAGUGGGGAAUAUUGGACAAGGGGCGAAAGCCUGAUCCAGCAAUGCCGCGUGAGUGAUGAAGGCCUUAGGGUUGUAAAGCUCUUUUACCCGGGAUGAUAAUGACAGUACCGGGAGAAUAAGCGCCGGCUAACUCCGUG